UUGUUUUUGAGGAACUGCUCAAAGAGGUUUUUGCUCGGACGGAUUUUUCCAGAGCAUUUGAACUGAAUCUUUGAACGGAAUCUUUGAACUGAAUCUUUUGAACUGUUUACUUUGUUCUUGUGUUCAAUACCAAGGAGCUAUUUCUGAAUGUGAUUGAGUUUAAUUGAACAAAUUUUAUAAUUGUGAACAAGGUCAUUGUUUAUGUUUGAUAUUGUAGGUGUUGUAUUCUAGAAAAUUUUCAUAGCCUAGAAGGUGCACCCAAACGAACAAAGCGAGUCAGGUGAAACUGUUCAAUUACUGUGAAUUGAAUUUUCAUAUCACUGUGAUUUUGAUAUUGGACAGAGAUUGUAACAUUGUUUAAUCAUUUUAUUUUAUUAUUUCUUUUAAAAAUCAACAAUUACUACAACAGUUUAUUUUCAAUACAGAUUUACUUUUACUUAUCCAGUGUUGUCUCAAUUACGCCGCCAUAGUCGAACCUACUGGCCUAUAGAUAAUAUUAGUAGUAAGUACAUAUCAAUUGACACGAGCUACAUUAUUUUAUGACAACGUUAUGGCGACAUCACCAGUCAGUCGUCCUUUCGCCAGUUAUGUUAUUUUAUGACAACGUUGUGGAGACCUCACCAGUUAGUCGUUCUACCGUCAGUUAUAUUAUGCAACGGUGUUAUUGCCACGAUUUCAUAACCUUUCAUUUUACUUAGGCACUCGUUCAAGUAACGCUGUGGCCAUGUCCUCAAUGUUACCAUAUAAUACGAAAUGUACCCCGGUCUCUAUUUUUCAUAUAUCAAAUCAUCCAUCCAUUCAUUUUCAUGCCGCUUGCAGGAGUACUGGAACCUAUCCGAGCAUCUUGGGCUGAAGGCAGGGAAACGCCCUAAACAGCCAUCAGGAGGAAUGCUGAUAUGAUUGGUGGUACAUCACGUGAUUAAUGUUGCAUAGCUAAUGAGCUCUUUUUUUCUGAAAUCCAACGGUCGUUCUGAGACCACGUCCUGAGGCUUCUCACCCAAAAAAUAGUCAGCAUGGAGGCUGAGAUGAAGAAGAUAAGGAAAACCUUAGCAGCCAUGCAUGAAUUAUAUGCUCGUGCACUGGGUGAUGGGACCUGUCAUCACUGGAGGAUGUGAACCUUAACACAUGUGACACUCUGGCGGAACUCCUCACCAUUGAAGAACAUCUAAAAGAGGAAACCUUCAGGAAGAAAGUGACCCAACAGUUGAGUCUUGUUGGAGGGCCAAAUCCAGGUGAGAACACCUGCAGGUAAUGCGUACAGUGGCCUCCUACAAUGUUUGGAAGGAGUUCAGCUUAAAGGGGAAAAAGGGCAAGAGACCACUGCUGAUUAUGAAUAUUAUGAAUGUUAUAAAAAAGUCAGUGAUGGUGUCCAAUCCAGGAAUGCAGCAAGCAAAAGUUGAGGACAUUGUGGGGGACACCCUAAAACAUGCUCCAGCAAGGUGUCAAAAACAAAAUCAGCAGGAGCAGCCACAGGAGGAAGAGAGUGAUGAGACAGUUGUACUGUUUGGGGAAGAAGAAUUAAGUAUUUUUUUACCACUAGUUACAUUUUACUCUGUUUAAAAUUGUAUUUAUAAAAUUUUCAUUGUUUUUGUUUCUUUUGUGAAUUUCCAUGUCAAAUUAAAUAUUUAUUGUGAUAUCUGAAGUCUCUGUCUUUUACAAAUGUGUAAAUGUUAAAAUAUGUUUUCCACUGUUUAGAAACAAAUGUUUGUGAAUUUGAAAUUGUUUCCAUAAUCUCCACAUGAUAGAAGUAUAAACUGGAAAGGUGCAGGUGGUUGCUAUAAGUUACUUUUGAAUUUCAGCCUACUGAACUGGCAAUGAGCUUAAUGUGAUUGAUCACCUAAUUAAAACAUGUAAUGUAAAACACAUGAGUUCAUGUAGUAGUCCUAAGUGAAAUAAAAGGUAAAUUCUGUAUUGUGGUGGCUCAAGCCUAAGACCCACCCUGGCCGCGAGAGGAGGGAUGCUGGAUGGAAAAUAGUGUCACAGGGAAGUAGCCACAUACUUAAUACUGCAUUUAAGCAUACUGGGUAAUGAAAAUAUGGUUGUUGCAACAUUCUCACCACGUCCCUGCUGUAUACAGCAAUAACGUCGCCACGGCGAUUAAGGGAUUUGCAAAGUUUGCUGGAAUGUUAUUUGGUACGUCACUGCGAUGAAAAUGGGACUUGCAAAAUAUGGUCGUUGGAAAGUACUUGCCACGUUCCUACAAUGUACAACAAUAAUGGCGUCACAACGUAUAUGGGAUUCACAAAAUUACAUCGCUGGUAUGUGAUUUGGUACGUCGCUACGAUGAAUCCGGUCCGGUUACGUCUUCACAACGUCUGCUGUGUUCUGUUUCAUUUGUUGCACUGCAUCAAGCUUUGUCAAUGCUGGUGUCACAAAUUGACAAUAUGAUUAAGUUCAGUUUGGAAAGAGGACUUUGUUACACAUGAUUCCAGAUUGUUUUUCACCUGGCUUGAUAAAUGGUGAGCCACUGUUUAUUUCCCCCUUUUGCUUUGAUGUGCAGACAGUAAUUACACAAGUUAAAUGCGAAAUCAUUAAAAAUCAAAGCAUCGCAAAAAGGUUUAUAAACCACAGCGUUCGCUGCCUCAUGGAAAGUGAACCUGCCCGGGCAGAAUUACACAGUUUCCAUUUAUAAAGAAUAGGCCUACUAUGUUGCAGGUAUUAGCUCCUGUUGUAACCGCUUUGUACGGGGCUUCUCUGGCAUGGGAGGGGGGUGCGCUAACAAGGACGCUAAAGGCUACAGCCCCUAGCAUCAGUCGUUAGUGCACCUCUUGAGGUCAGGAGAGUAAGGUUUUAUACACAUUACACAGUUAUCUAUCAGCUGGCUACCAUUACACUCACCCCCCUAAACUUCACUCCCAUCCGGGUCACGGCACCAUUGUUACACUCCUGCCCGCUCUGUACGGGACAAAAAACCGGCGUCUCUGGCAUGGGAGGCGGGUGCGCUAACAAGGAGGCUGAAGGCUACAGCCUCUAAUGUCAGUUGCUAGUGCACAUCUUGAGGUCAGGAGAGUGAGGUUUACACACAUUGCACAGCUACCUAUCAACUGGCUCCCAUUACACAGGCAGUGACAGAAAUUAUUUUUGUUCGACUUUAAUGUGAUUUUAUCAUUUGAAGAUCCAUGUAUUGUGCUAUUUAGGCUCAUAGCUCACUGUGCACUUUAUUCCCUGCUAAUCUGAGAUUGUGUUUGCAUCCAUGGCAAUAAAAGUUCUUUGUUCCCGAGUCCCGACAAACAACAGAAUAACCAUUUGUGAACUUUCGCGGUUAACCAAAUAUUAUAAAAAAAUAAUACUGUUCUCCUGCUGCUCUUGUCCAGAAUGCAUUCCGCCGAACAAAUGGUAUUUCACAUAAGGCUGACAUUUACAUGGAUUUAUAAUAGAUAUCACAAAAUAAAUAAAUGAUUGAUUUAGAACAUGGGGCCCUUUGGGUUUAGAAGCCCCUGAGUAAUGGCCCAAUCGGCCCGGUGGUUAAUCCGUCCCUGCACACAGUGACAGAUGCAACACUUUCUGCUCUGUAAAUCUUACUUGAAGGUUAAUUUCUGCAGACUGUAAUUUGUGUUCUGUUCUUUGCAAAUUAAUUACAAUUUAAAUGUUUACAUUUUGGCUCACCUGAAAGAAAUGA